CUUCCUCCUUCCUUUGUUAUCCUCUGCCUUUGCCUCUUUUGAAAAGUUCUAAGUUGCUAGCCGAUCAGGACAAAUACAGAAUGUGAGGUCCCCUUCCAGACAACAGACACCGGACACAGCAGUAGCGUGGACGCGUAAAGUUAUAAAUGACCCUGUCUCCUUUGUUCAGUGUACUCUUGUGGCAAAACUGCUGGCGAGUGUACCCUUUCUGCAGAAAGUAAAAAUGGCCUUGCUGAGGUAGUUAAAAUUUAUGUUCAAGUGCUAUUUCUUUACAGCACUGGGGAAGAAGCAUUUCUAACAGGAGCCUGCAUGCUGAGGAUGGCAGAGGAAAAAGACAGAGCCAUACUGAGCCCUUGGAGAUGCCACUGAGGAGCUACGCUAACCAAUCCUGGAGGCACCAUAACCUAGGACUUCUUCUUAUACAAGGAUGCUAGAGAGCAGUCUUCAGCCUGAGACCCAUCUCUAGCUUCUAACAACUCAGUAUACUCCUAUGAACAAAAUUUGGAGCAUAUUUGUUUCUCUCUACCUGAUUUCUUCAGACUGUGGAAACUAUUUGAAUCAAACUUGACUUAUGGAUCCAAUAAAGCCCUUGGAAAAACUGGCCUCAUAUUUUGUGUAAACAGUCCCCGUACAGGGUUUCUGACUUGUGGACAUGAGACUUCACAGCCUGCUAAAAAUAAGCUUUUGGGACCUACCCAUUUAGGAAUAAACAGUCCUAGCCUUGAGAGAUCAGAUGAAAUCUGAGGCCAGAGACUCAUUUUCUUCUAAAAUGCUUUCUCCAAAAGAUUUUUAAAUAGAAAAGAGGGGAAAUGUGAAAGGAAAAUGUCUUCAGCCCCUUCAAGCUGGGAACUCUCAGUACAAAUCUGUCUCUCAUUCUAUUCAAAGUCAUUUCUCUGCUCAGAGAUAGAUGCAUAUUCUGAUUGCCUUCUUUGGAAAGACUUACCAGAAACUCAAAAGAAUGCAACCAUCUGUCUCUCACCUACCUGUGACCUGGAAGCCCAUAGGGUAAAGGGGGCUUGCUUUGAGUUGUCUCUACUUUUCUGAAUGGAAUGAAUGUACUUCUUACAUUUAUUGAUUGAUGUCUCAUGUUUCCCUAAAAUGUAUAAAACCAAUCUGUGCCCCGGCCACCCUGGGCAUGUGUUGUCAGGACUUCCUAAGGCUAUGUCACAGGUGCAUCCUCAACUUUGGCAAAUAAACUUUCUAAAUUAACUGAGACCUCUCUCAGAUUUUCUGGGUUCACUAUUCCUACUUGGAAAAUUGUCGAUAU
rnacentral:lncRNA from 10 species